rnacentral:rRNA from 1 species
GUGGGGAAUUUUGGACAAUGGGCGCAAGCCUGAUCCAGCCAUUCCGCGUGCAGGAUGAAGGCCUUCGGGUUGUAAACUGCUUUUGUACGGAACGAAAAGCCUCUGGUUAAUACCCGGGGGUCAUGACGGUACCGUAAGAAUAAGCACCGGCUAACUACGUGCCAGCAGCCGCGGUAAUACGUAGGGUGCGAGCGUUAAUCGGAAUUACUGGGCGUAAAGCGUGCGCAGGCGGUGAUGUAAGACAGUUGUGAAAUCCCCGGGCUCAACCUGGGAACUGCAUCUGUGACUGCAUUGCUGGAGUGCGGCAGAGGGGGAUGGAAUUCCGCGUGUAGCAGUGAAAUGCGUAGAUAUGCGGAGGAACACCGAUGGCGAAGGCAAUCCCCUGGGCCUGCACUGACGCUCAUGCACGAAAGCGUGGGGAGCAAACAGGAUUAGAAACCCGGGUAGUCC